rnacentral:rRNA from 1 species
AACGAACGCUGGCGGCAUGCCUAACACAUGCAAGUCGAACGAGAUCCUUCGGGGUCUAGUGGCGCACGGGUGCGUAACGCGUGGGAAUCUGCCCUUAGGUUCGGAAUAACAGUUAGAAAUGACUGCUAAUACCGGAUGAUGACGUUAAGUCCAAAGAUUUAUCGCCUGAGGAUGAGCCCGCGUAGGAUUAGCUAGUUGGUGUGGUAAAGGCGCACCAAGGCGACGAUCCUUAGCUGGUCUGAGAGGAUGAUCAGCCACACUGGGACUGAGACACGGCCCAGACUCCUCCGGGAGGGAGGAGGGGGGAAAAUGGGAAAAGGGGGGGAAGCCUGACCCAGCAAUGCCGGGGGAGUGAUGAAGGCCUUAGGGUUGUAAAGCUCUUUUACCCGGGAUGUUAAGGCCAGGCCCGGGAGAAAAAGCCCCGGCAACCUCCGG